GAAGUUCCUAAGAAAACACACUCUUGAGCCAAGGUUCGAUGGUCCAUUCCAAGUCCUAUUGACUACAUCUACCUCUGUAAAGUUGGCUGGCAAGAAUACCUGGAUACACGCCUAGCACUGCAAGAAAGUUCCUGAUCCAGAGGAAAUGGAUUCCACCAAAUCAUGAGCUUCCUGUGCCUAUUUCUGCUGCUAGGCCUAUCAAAGG